AACCAUAGAAACCUGCGGAGUACCUGCGGAGGGAUCAUUACACAAUACAAUAUGAAGGCUGUCCGCAGCUGGAGUAUUUUAUUACCCUUGUCUUUUGCGCACUUGUUGUUUCCUGGGCGGGUUCGCUCGCCACCAGGACCACCAAAUAAACCCUUUUUAUGCAGUUGCAAUCAGCGUCAGUACAAACAAUGUAAAUCAUUUACAACUUUCAACAAUGGAUCUCAGAUCGGAAGAGCACAC
rnacentral:misc_RNA from 1 species